UACGAGUGCCCCAAGCGUUACCCGGAAUUACUGGGCGUAAAGAGUCUGUAGGUGGUUUUGUUAGUCGCGUGUUAAAGCUCCUGGCUCAACUGGGAAAAAGCAUGCGAAACGGCAAGACUAGAGGAUAUGAGAGGUGUGCGGAACUCACGGUGUAGGGGUGAAAUCCGUUGAUAUCGUGGGGAACACCAAAAGCGAAGGCAGCACACUGGCAUACUCCUGACACUGAGAGACGAAAGCGUGGGUAGCGAAU
rnacentral:rRNA from 1 species